UGUCCCCACGCCCUUGUCCAAAUUCCCUCUCUUGUUGCCUCAGAAGUGGCACUUUAGACCUUGCAGCAUUCACACAGAUGCAGAAAUGUCUUGAGGUAACAGCAUGGAUUUUGGAAAGGAGCUUUGUCCUCCUUCAAAGUUAUGCCACAUCUGAAGUGCAGCCAGAUCUCCCUUAAGUGUGCUGACAGAUGCAGAGGAAAGACAUCCUGUCUCUAUUCUUGCACCCUUCACCAUUGCCUCCUAUCAUAA
rnacentral:lncRNA from 1 species